rnacentral:rRNA from 1 species
UACAGGGGGGGCAAGCGUUGUUCGGAAUUACUGGGCGUAAAGGGUUCGUAGGUGGCCACUUAAGUCAGACGUGAAAUCCCUCAGCUUAACUGGGGAACUGCGUCUGAUACUGCGUGGCUUGAGUGCAGGAGAGGAAUGCGGAAUUCCAGGUGUAGCGGUGAAAUGCGUAGAUAUCUGGAGGAACACCGGUGGCGAAGGCGGCAUUCUGGACUGUAACUGACACUGAGGAACGAAAGCCAGGGGAGCAAACGGG